rnacentral:rRNA from 1 species
UACGUAGGGUGCAAGCGUUGUCCGGAAUUAUUGGGCGUAAAGAGCUCGUAGGCGGUCUGUCACGUCGGCUGUGAAAUCCCGAGGCUCAACCUCGGGUCUGCAGUCGAUACGGGCAAACUAGAGUAUUGCAGGGGAGACUGGAAUUCCUGGUGUAGCGGUGAAAUGCGCAGAUAUCAGGAGGAACACCGGUGGCGAAGGCGGGUCUCUGGGCCGAUACUGACGCUGGAGGAGCGAAAGCGUGGGGAGCGAACAGG